rnacentral:rRNA from 1 species
AACGAACGCUGGCGGCAUGCCUAACACAUGCAAGUCGAACGAGACCUUCGGGUCUAGUUGCGCACGGGUUCGUAACGCGUGGGAACCUUCCCUUAGGUUCGGAAUAACUCCCCGAAAGGGGUGCUAAUAGCGGAUAAUGUCUUCUGACCAAUGAUUUAUCUCCUUUGGAUGGGUCCGCGUUGGAUUAGCUAGUUGGUAGGGUAAAAGACUACCAAGGCGACGAUCCAUAGCUGGUCUGAGAGGAUGAUCAGCCACACUGGGACUGAGACACGGCCCAGACUCCUACGGGAGGAAGCAGUGGGGAAUAUUGGACGCUGGGCGAAAGACUGAUCCAGCCAUGCCGCGUGAGUGAUGAAGGACUUAGGGUUGUAAAGCACUUUUACCCGGGAUGAUAAUGACAGUAACGGGAGAAUAAGCUACGGCUAACUACGUG